GAUGAACGCUGGCGGCGUGCUUAACACAUGCAAGUCGAACGGAAAGGCCAGUGCUUGCACUGGUACUCGAGUGGCGAACGGGUGAGUAACACGUGGGUGAUCUGCCCUGUACUUCGGGAUAAGCUUGGGAAACUGGGUCUAAUACCGGAUAGGACAACUUUUUGGAUAUUGUUGUGGAAAGCUUUUGCGGUAUGGGAUGAGCUCGCGGCCUAUCAGCUUGUUGGUGGGGUAAUGGCCUACCAAGGCGUCGACGGGUAGCCGGCCUGAGAGGGUGUACGGCCACAUUGGGACUGAGAUACGGCCCAGACUCCUACGGGAGGCAGCAGUGGGGAAUAUUGCACAAUGGGCGCAAGCCUGAUGCAGCGACGCUGCGUGGGGGAUGAAGGCCUUCGGGUUGUAAACUCCUUUCGCUAGGGACGAAGCGCAAGUGACGGUACCUGGAGAAGAAGCACCGGCUAACUACGUG
rnacentral:rRNA from 1 species